GACGAACGCUGGCGGCGUGCUUAACACAUGCAAGUCGAACGAAGCUUGAUUACGGAUUCUUCGGAUGAAGUAUGAUAUGACUGAGUGGCGGACGGGUGAGUAACGCGUGAGUAACCUGCCCUUCAGAGGGGGAUAGCGUUUGGAAACGAACGGUAAUACCGCAUAAUGUAUUUUGACCGCAUGAUCGAAAUACCAAAGAUUUAUCGCUGAAGGAUGGACUCGCGUCUGAUUAGGUAGUUGGUGGGGUAACGGCCUACCAAGCCGACGAUCAGUAGCCGGACUGAGAGGUUGAUCGGCCACAUUGGGACUGAGACACGGCCCAGACUCCUACGGGAGGCAGCAGUGGGGAAUAUUGCACAAUGGGCGCAAGCCUGAUGCAGCAACGCCGCGUGAAGGAAGACGGUUUUCGGAUUGUAAACUUCUGUUCUUAGUGAAGAAUAAUGACGGUAGCUAAGGAGCAAGCCACGGCUAACUACGUGCCAGCAGCCGCGGUAAUACGUAGGUGGCCAAGCGUUGUCCGGAAUUACUGGGUGUAAAGGGAGCGCAGGCGGGUGAUCAAGUCAGCUGUGAAAACUACGGGCUUAACCCGUAGACUGCAGUUGAAACUGUUCAUCUUGAGUGAUUUUUUGGUUGGCGGAAUUCCGAGGGGAGCGGGGAAAUGCGCAGAUAUUCGGAGGAACACCGGUGGCGAAGGCGGCCUUCUGGGCUUUAACUGACGCUGAGGCUCGAAAGUGUGGGGAGCAAACAGGAUUAGAUACCCUGGUAGUCCACACUGUAAACGAUGAUUGCUAGGUGUGGGGGGUCUGACCCCUUCCGUGCCGGAGCUAACGCAAUAAGCAAUCCACCUGGGGAGUACGACCGCAAGGUUGAAACUCAAAGGAAUUGACGGGGACCCGCACAAGCAGUGGAUUAUGUGGUUUAAUUCGAAGCAACGCGAAGAACCUUACCAGCACUUGACAUCCAACUAACGAAAUAGAGAUAUAUUAGGUGCCCUUCGGGGAAAGUUGAGACAGGUGGUGCAUGGUUGUCGUCAGCUCGUGUCGUGAGAUGUUGGGUUAAGUCCCGCAACGAGCACAACCCUCGCCAUUAGUUGCUACGCAAGAGCACUCUAAUGGGACCGCUACCGACAAGGUGGAGGAAGGUGGGGACGACGUCAAAUCAUCAUGCCCCUUAUGUGCUGGGCUACACACGUAAUACAAUGGCCAUCAACAGAGAGAAGCAAUACCGCGAGGUGGAGCAAAACUUCAAAAAUGGUCUCAGUUCGGACUGCAGGCUGCAACCCGCCUGCACGAAGUUGGAAUUGCUAGUAAUCGUGGAUCAGCAUGCCACGGUGAAUACGUUCCCGGGUCU
rnacentral:rRNA from 1 species